rnacentral:rRNA from 1 species
UACAGAGGUCUCAAGCGUUGUUCGGAUUCAUUGGGCGUAAAGGGUGCGUAGGCGGCGCGGUAAGUCGGGGUGUGAAAUCUCGGAGCUUAACUCCGAAACUGCAUUCGAUACUGCCGUGCUUGAGGACUGGAGAGGAGACUGGAAUUCAUGGUGUAGCAGUGAAAUGCGUAGAGAUCAUGAGGAAGACCAGUGGCGAAGGCGGGGUCUCUGGACAGUUCCUGACACUGAGACACGAAGGCCAGGGGAGCAAACGGGG